ensembl:lncRNA
AUGAACAGCGUUUAUUGGCAGGAACAGAGCAGCCCUGAAGCGAUUUGGGAUUCGUCCUCUGGGGACCACGGCGGCCUGGAGGAGAUUUCGUGGCGUUCCAUCCGGCAUGUGGCGGCGGGUGCACGGGGGCUGUUCUGCGGCGGUUGUAUUUUUGUGUUGUCACUUGGAGAUCCUUGGUCACCGCGGGAGAGGAACCUUUUUAGGGGGAUAUCUGGCCUCCAACUAAAAGGCUCCGCGUGUGACGAGGGGCCACAUCCCAACAAGAGCAUCGUCCAACUCAACCCACCGGUCUGCAGACGUGGCUCGUUGGUUUGGUGCAAUAACAGGAAACCCAGAAACCCCUUUAAGUCCCCCCCCCCCCCCCGGAGGACAGUGAAGCCCACGGAGGAAGCAGUGGUCCAGUCGCCCUACAUGCAGCCCAGAUGGAAAUGUGGAGCGCCGCUCUCCUCAUUCGGGAGGAAGUGGGUCACGGAGACCCCGGUCCACCAGGACACGCAGCAGCCAAUCACAGCCUGCCUGAGCGGGGCGGGGGGGGGGGGGGUUCCCCCAGGGGGCAAAACGCCGGGGGGGGGGGGGGGGGGGGGGGUGAUGUAAAGCUACAAACCUGAGUGUAGCAUGUCAUGCUGUACGAAGCAGAAUUUUGUUUUAAAGACUUUAGAAAAUUGAUCUUAUAGGAUGAGAAAAAAUACUAAUUAGUACUAAUAGUACUUAAAGUAUGAUACGUAAAGUACUAACUGUGCAGAAAAGUAUCACUGCUGCAUGAAUGUGUGUGUUUUGUAUUGCUGUCGAUGUUUUUCGGUCCUGUUUUCCAGCUGAUUCAGGAGGACUUUUAAAGAUUUUAUUUAGCCUUAAAAGUUGGGAGGAUUCUCACAAAAUAAUAAUGGGACAUUUCCUCCUUCAUUGUACCACAAACACAUCUGGAGAUACGAGGUUUUAAGGAGAGGAGAGACAGCAAUCGGAAAAGUAACCAAUGUCAUGGAUUAAAAAUGUUCAGUGUUUACGCCGAAUGUCGCCUGUCUNNNNNNNNNNGUCUGUCUGUCUGUCUGUCUGUCUGUCUGUCUGUCUGUCUGUCUGUCUGUCUGUCUGUCUGUCUGUCUGUCUGUCUGUCUGUCUGUCUGUCUGAGGCCUCAUUAAAGUCCUCAGGAUGCGGCUCUUAUUCCAGCCAGGAAUUAGCGCAGCAUCAAGCAGCUUAAUACCACCAGCCGACCCACAACAACCCUCCGCUGCGAGGGGGGGGGGGAGUUAACGAAGCGUCUUCAUGUCUGAAACACGUCGAACAACGAGGACGGACCGCCGCGUGUCAACGCCAGCCGCUCGUUAGGGGGACAUUUUGCAUUUCAUGCAGACCUAAUUCCAUUGUAUAUUUACAGCAGCAAAGGCCUCUGUUGAGAAAAUAACGUGACUGAUCUGUAGCGACGACGAAGCAUAACUGUCACUUCACUGACCAGCGUGAAACAACAACAACUGAAUUUACUCGUCAGAGGAUUAUCUUAUUUUAACAAAAUAAUUAAGUUUAGCUGUUUUGAAGACACACAUUUUCAAAAUGUAUCUACAACCUAAUCAUUUAUAAAUAGAAGGCACCAUUUUUUUUAAUUUAAAUAAACAGGUUGCAAACAAAGUUGCGUUACAACUGAAUUCGGCCAAAUCUAUAAACACGCUGCUUCCGCUCGAGGAAAAGGCGACGGCAGCUGGAGACUCACUCCCCAAAUGUUUUGUGGGCGGCGUGGACGGCUGGAGCCAUAUGGCCGACAGCGUCACGUGACGCGCCGCUAUUGGAUUAAUGACAAACGCACACACACACACACACACACACACAUACACACACACACAGGGCCCGCCUGCUGUUCAGGUCUAGCAGUCAACAACAUCCACACAGGACGCCGCCGCCGCCGAGCUCUCUGAUUGGCUGCCGCGCAUUCAAACGGCCCACUGGCACCGCUGGCCCGUAUUUCAGGGUCACCAAUUAGCCGCUGAUGAAUUGUUUGGCUUGUCGCGGCGGGCGAAGGAGCGCGAUCUCUGUGAGGUUCCCCCAACGGCUCACUGAAUAAAUCAAUUAACCGAAUCGACCCGACUCACAGUGACGGGCGAAACGUUGUUGUGACACGACGAGAUUAAAGCUGCAGUCGAACCUCGUCAGCAGAAUGGGAUGAACAGCCCCCCCGUUCAUCCAGUAAUUAAUCCAAUUUGAUGACACUCUGGCAGCAACAACACCAAUCAAUGGACAUUCGGUGUAGACUUUUGAUGGCUCUGAACCAGAGAAACGGACCUGGUGCCAGAAGUGAUGCUCCCAUCAGUCACAUGGUACACUUUGAUAACAUGCGUAUGCUUUGAAUGUCUCAAAUACUUUACUUUAUUUAGCUUUUUAAUUAACAACCACCACGUCAUCACAUGUGGUAGAUUAUUAUUAUUAUUAUUAUUAUAUUAUUAUCAGCGUGCAGGGUUUUCACUUUUCAAAAGCUCACCCAAAUGAACACGGACGAAUGGAGCAGUAGAGCGACUUAAAGGGAUUUAAGGUGCUUUAUCGUUGCUUUGGCUUUGUUACGUUUGGUCAGAGAGGCUUAAAUAAAUUACCGCAACUUCGUCUUCAUCUUCAUCAUCAUCAUCAUCACCCUCGUCGCAGAAGAGAGCCUCCCUGGGGGGGGUGGAGCCGCUGAGACCCUCACGCGAUGAGGAACUUCACCGGUUCCCCGUUAAAGUUCCUCAUCGCGUGACGGUUACUGACACUCGUCCCCCCCUGUGACCUUGAACACAAUGUGUGUGUGUGUGUGUGUUUCUGGUCACCGCGGCAACAGUUACCAAGCAGCGAGGGGAGCCGUGCUCGGCCCGGCCCCCCGCGUGACGAGGUGACGCUCGCUGCGGCGCUUCAGAGGAAGAGCGGAGGAAACAGCGAGGGGGGAAGUUUCUGCUGCACCAUCUGCACCGUCACCUUUAGACGGGCUGCAGGUCAGAGCUCAGAGUCGCACAGCGCUGCCUGCGUAACAAUGAAGAGGAAGUUCGCCGCUCGUUUCCCCAGUCGGAGCUUCCCCCUCCGGCUCAUCGCGUUCCCCGUUCAUCCCUGAAACACGGCGAGGAGGAAGAUGGCCUCUGAAAACCACUUCCUGUCACACGGAGGCCUCGUUGGAUCCAACGAACGCUGCUGCACCUGCAUGAACUCCUCCGGCCCGCGACCCUCGCGGGGAUUUGAGAGGGUCAGAGGUCAAGGUGACAUGUGACCAGGGCGUACCGCGUCACAUGUCACUGGCCAUCCGUAACACCACAACACCACCCUAACACCAUCAUAACACCAC